rnacentral:rRNA from 1 species
CUCGUUUAGAUUGAAGGAGCUUGCUCCUGAUUGAUAAACAUUUGAGUGAGUGGCGGACGGGUGAGUAACACGUGGGUAACCUGCCCUAAAGUGGGGGAUAACAUUUGGAAACAGAUGCUAAUACCGCAUAAAACCUAACACCGCAUGGUGUAGGGUUGAAAGAUGGUUUCGGCUAUCACUUUAGGAUGGACCCGCGGUGCAUUAGUUAGUUGGUGAGGUAAAGGCUCACCAAGACCGUGAUGCAUAGCCGACCUGAGAGGGUAAUCGGCCACACUGGGACUGAGACACGGCCCAGACUCCUACGGGAGGCAGCAGUAGGGAAUCUUCCACAAUGGACGAAAGUCUGAUGGAGCAACGCCGCGUGAGUGAAGAAGGUUUUCGGAUCGUAAAACUCUGUUGUUGGAGAAGAAUGUAUCUGAUAGUAACUGAUCAGGUAGUGACGGUAUCCAACCAGAAAGCCACGGCUAACUACGUGCCAGCAGCCGCGGUAAUACGUAGGUGGCAAGCGUUGUCCGGAUUUAUUGGGCGUAAAGCGAGCGCAGGCGGUUUCUUAAGUCUGAUGUGAAAGCCUUCGGCUCAACCGAAGAAGUGCAUCGGAAACUGGGAAACUUGA